UACAGAGGGGGCAAGCGUUGUUCGGAAUUACUGGGCGUAAAGGGCGCGUAGGCGGCCUUCUAAGUCGAACGUGAAAUCCCCGGGCUCAACCCGGGAACUGCGUCCGAUACUGGAAGGCUUGAAUCCGGGAGAGGGAUGUGGAAUUCCAGGUGUAGCGGUGAAAUGCGUAGAUAUCUGGAGGAAUACCGGUGGCGAAGGCGGCAUCCUGGACCGACAUUGACGCUGAACGGCGAAAGCUAGGGGAGCGAAACGGG
rnacentral:rRNA from 1 species